rnacentral:rRNA from 1 species
GAUGAACGCUAGCGAUAGGCUUAACACAUGCAAGUCGAGGGACCGGCGCACGGGUGCGUAACGCGUAUGCAACUUGCCUCACAGAGGGGGAUAACCCGUCGCAAGACGGACUAAUACCGCGUACUGUGAGAUAGGCAUGCGUCCCAUUAGCUAGUUGGUGAGGUAACGGCUCGCCAAGGCAACGAUGGGUAGGGGAACUGAGAGGUUGAACCCCCACACUGGUACUGAGACACGGACCAUACUGCUACGGGAGGGAGCAGAGAGGAAUAGUGGUCAAUGGGGGAGAGCCUGACCCAGCCAAGUCGCGUGAAGGAUGACUGUGUAUGGAUGGUAAACUUCUUUUGUAGGGGGAUAUGUACCCUACGAAUAAGCAUCGGCUAACUCCGUGCCAGCCGCCGCGGUAAUUC